CCUUUCGUCCUAAAGUUACCUACUCAAAUAUGGGCCCGUCGAGAGAGGAAAGCCCUUAUUCGGCUAUCAUCCCAAACCUAAGGCAACUGUCCUGGUUUAAAGGACGAGAUCACCCAAUGAAGAUCAACCAUCUAAGGCAAAGCCACGACAGCCUUAACCGAAGGUGUUAUAUAAGGAGAACAUGACACCACUGAUAAAGGGAAAUCUACACCAAAUGUGAAACAUUUUCCCAAUGUAAAAUCCAUCCCCAGAAGACUCUGGUUAGACCAGUGGUCCGACCCAUGUAACCUCAACAAGGGCUUUACUAUACCAAACUUUACUAAUCACACAUAAAUCAAGUAUUAAUAACAUAAACAAUCUAAUAUAUAAAAUAAGGGUUCUCAAACCAUGUACUGAAACGAAGACCUUAAAACAAGCUUUAUAAUUAUAGGAAGGAGGUACAACCCCCAAUUUCUUAAAUAGAUCAAAUCUUGAAAAUCCAAACCGACCAGCUCUUCCCACCUCCAUUUCCAAUACCUGAGGCUGAAAACGCAAAUACAUACUGAAAGACUAACACAUCCAAGACGAGAUGAAUAAAAAGCACCGAGUGUCUAACAGACAGCCGUAACUUAAAGCACAAAUAAGAAAGGUAAAUGCAUGGUUAAGAAUGUCGGAUCGAACUGACUGGUCCAAUUGGUUUGACGGCAAACCAACCAAAGAGCCGAAACCGAGUCGCCGGUUGAUGAGAAUGGUCGAAACCAAACGUUGACCCGAUUUAACCAUGAAAUUUGGCCGGUUCAACCAAAAUUGUUUGGCCGGUUGGACGCGAUUUUUAUGGCUACAUUUUUUAUUUUUCAAAAAUAUGGAAGUGAGAUUCAAACAAUGAUCUUUCGAGAAGAGAAGAUGAGUGAUUAUCAUCUGUACUAAUAUCAUAAUUUGAUUAAAUCAUACAUUUAAUUGAUAAUAAUAAACAUUAUGACAGCUAAUUAACACUAAAAAAGUAGCAACUUACCAUAAAUGAAGUAAAUUGUACAUUAGAUCUCAAUUAUUUGAUUAAUAAAAAUUUCAAAUCAUUUAUAUGAUUUAAAAUUUCUUAAAAAUGAUAUAAUAACUAUAUUUUUUACAAGGUAAAUUAUGAUUUUGAACUCUCUAUACUACAUGUUCAAUCCGGCUCAAUUAAAAAAUCGUCCAGUCCGGCUUAACUAUAUUUAUUAAUUUAAUUAAUAAUUAAAAUGGUCCAACCAGGUUUUAAAAAUGAUCGGACCCCGAUCGAACCAUCAAACUCUCAACCCAUAUCUUCCCCUAUUCAAUCACUGGUCUAGUUUUCAAAACAUUGGCUAAAUGAAUAGACAAAUAGUGACUGGCAUAUUUACUAGACCACUAUGGCUACAUUACUAGAGAUGGAAUUCAAUUACUUGUGAUUCCUCAUUAGUGGGUUAGCUUCAUAGUGGAACAUACCACAAAGCGACCAAAUCCGUACAAGCAUCAUCUUUGACAUAUUCUACACGUCUGUAGUAACAUUAAUCACCUAAAGGGUUGUGCAACCUAGGGAUGGGUACCAACACAUAACACAGUAUAAUAUAGUCUAUCUCGGUAAUGAUAGUAAUAAGUCAGGAUACAGUAGAAUCCAUCUAGUAAAUAGUGGAUCCUUAGCUCAAGAGAACACAAGCCAUCAUGCCUCAGUAAAAUCACAAGCUGACAGUGGUAGCGGUCAAUUAUAACCGUAAAAUCAUUAGGAUAAUCCUACCCAGACCAGACAGAAAUGUAACGGGAAACCCCAACUUAGCAAAAGCCGAUCUCUGAAUAUGAGAAGAGUAUUCUUCCCUUAUCUAUAUAAGCUUCCCCUGAUCCCUAAUAGUUCAUUUGGACCAACUCCAUCAUUCUCCGUACCAAGAACCACUACAACACAUCAAUAUAUGAAAAAUCCUCAAAACUAAAACCUUCUAAAAUUGAGAAAGAAAUCCAUGAUCACCUUUAAUUGCCUUAAGUAAAACGUUCAUGAAAUAGCCCCUGCCCAUCCUUCAAGAUCUCGUGGAGAUCAAACUUUUUUAUACCAUUAAAAGUGGAACUUUCUUUUCUGAAAAUGCCUUCAUCGAGUAUUGCAGAAAAACUGAUUUAGGAAUUUCAAAUCUUCUGUCAACUAAAACACCAAAA
rnacentral:lncRNA from 1 species